rnacentral:rRNA from 1 species
UACGAAGGGGGCUAGCGUUGUUCGGAAUUACUGGGCGUAAAGCGUGCGCAGGCGGCUUCUCGAGUCAGGGGUGAAAGCCCAGAGCUCAACUCUGGAAUUGCCUUUGAGACUGAGUGGCUUGAGUACGAGAGAGGUGAGUGGAAUUCCCAGUGUAGAGGUGAAAUUCGUAGAUAUUGGGAAGAACACCGGUGGCGAAGGCGGCUCACUGGCUCGUAACUGACGCUCAUGCACGACAGCGUGGGGAUCAAACAGG